rnacentral:lncRNA from 1 species
AACCCCCCAGUCAUACAACAAGAACGAUAAUGCAUACUACUCCCCAUUCACAUAUGACUACCAAUGGUAAGGUCUUGAGUGCCAUUAAGCCAAGCACCAUUCCAGUAAUCAAGAGACAGAGGCAAAACUGGUUUGAUGUGCCCAGUGAUGAUUACUUUGUAGCUACAGAAGAGACCAGAAAAUUUCGUAAGCAGUUCACCCGGGCACAGUUAAAAAGAGCUUCCAGAACACCUUGUGCUCCAAUCACUGUGACGACAAAGUCCUUUGUGAACCACAGGCUAGUCUGGACGGAACCAGCAACCACCAUGCACUGAAGAUACAGCAGCAACACAAUCACAUCAGAUUCAUAGUUUUUACUUUACAAAUGCAGAUGUAAAAAGAUAUUCUAAGUCUCAAAGUAUAUAAAAAACAAAUACUGUGAGGACAGAUUGUAGCUGACUCCUGUGUUCUGGACAUGACACAACUGCAGCCCUUGCAUUCUCCUUGUGUGCAAGGACUGUUCCUGGCUACCAGUGCUAGCCUGUCUCAUUAGGGGCAUGCAGAUAGUCCCACUUUUCUCUCCACGCCAGUCACCAGAGAUGGCUGAUCACUGAGCAGGAAUACACUGUACCUGGUAAGAGGUGUGGUUGCAGCAUGCUUCCUCUAUACUUGCCUAUGCCUUCUGGAGCUCCUGGUGGGGGACUGGUGAGGGAACUACACCACCUGGACCAUUGUUUGUAAAGCACCGUUUAGCUAACAAAAACACAUUUUCAAUAUCGGCCAUUGAUUUUGGGUGUCUGGAUUUUCAAUGUUCAACUUGAGGCAUCUUGAAUCUGAUUUUCAGAAGUGUUGAGUAUCCAUAACUCCAACUGAGGGCAAAUAAAGGAGAUGUGGGUGUUCA